UCAGGCCUAACACAUGCAAGUCGAGCGAGGUAGCGAUACCUAGCGGCGGACGGGUGAGUAACGCGUGGGAACGUACCCUUUGGUUCGGAAUAGCCCUGGGAAACUGGGAGUAAUACCGGAUACGGUCGAGAGACGAAAGAUUUAUCGCCGAAGGAUCGGCCCGCGUUGGAUUAGGUAGUUGGUGGGGUAAUGGCCUACCAAGCCGACGAUCCAUAGCUGGUUUGAGAGGAUGAUCAGCCACACUGGGACUGAGACACGGCCCAGACUCCUACGGGAGGCAGCAGUGGGGAAUCUAAGAGAAUGGGCGCAAGCCUGAUCUAGCCAUGCCGCGUAUUUAUGAGAGGCCUUAGGGUUGUAAAGCUCUUUCAGGGGGAAGAUAAUGA
rnacentral:rRNA from 1 species